AAAUGAAUAAAGAGUUUGACCAAAAUUAGGCUCUUUUUACAUUUGUGAAUUGUUUAUUGUCUCUUGCUCAUUUUAAUUAAUGGGCAGCAACCUUUGAUUUAUAAUCAGAAGUUAAACCUAGUAUUGAAAAUUGACUUUGUUGAAUUAAUUAAAUUUAAA
rnacentral:misc_RNA from 1 species